GAUGAAGAACGUAGCGAAAUGCGAUAAGUAAUGUGAAUUGCAGAAUUCAGUGAAUCAUCGAAUCUUUGAACGCACAUUGCGCCCGCCAGUAUUCUGGCGGGCAUGCCUGUUCGAGCGUCAUUUCAACCAACAAGCCCCAGGCUUGUGUUGGGGACCUGCGGCUGCCGCAGGCCCUGAAAACCAGUGGCGGGCUCGCUGUCACACCGGGCGUAGUAGAUUUUAUCUCGCUCUGGGCGUGCUGCGGGUUCCGGCCGUUAAAAAACCCUUUUAACCCAAGGUUGACCUCGGAUCAGGUAGGAAUACCCGCUGAACUUAAGCAUAUCAAUAAGCGGAGGA
rnacentral:misc_RNA from 1 species